UUUAGGGUUUUCGGUUUUAGGGCUCUUCGCGGGAGCGAUGAUCUUCAGACGGUGGAAUCUCCUCACGGGCACCGCAGCUGCCUUCUCGGCUGUGCUGGGCGUCUCGAUCGCCGCUGGAUUGCUGCUGCAUUCUGCCCAGCAGAAGCCGCCGGCCAAAGCACAGGAGAAAGAGACGAAGAAAUGAUCCAAUGUAAAAUCGAUCGAAUCUAGGAUCGCUCCGAAAUAAAGAAGAUUAGAAAGUUCUUUGUAUU